AAUAAACACAGCUUCCAGCCAUGCAAAGCACCACAGUUCAGGCUCUGCCUAAUAACAGCAGGCGGGGUGGCUCCUCUCCCAGCAGCAGAAAGGACCUGGUGACCACAGGAUGGAAAGGAAAACACAGGGAGAAAAACAGCAGCUCAAGAAUGUGCUCCCAGAGGAUCCUGCUCUCUCAGGACCAGCACGGAGAAUGCCGAGGUGUGCGCAGUCCAUGGGCACCUGAGCUGGAAUGCAGGGAGAGAUGGAGGUGUCUGCAGCAUCCUGCAGCUCUGGGAGGAAGGACACAUGUCUCCAGGCCAGUCCAGCUCCAGACAGGGCCACCACACCCUGUCACGGGGCAGUGCCAGUGACAAAACUCCUUGCAACCCAUGGGGCA